GCCUAGUUAGCUUAAGUUGGUAGUGCGUCUGCCUUGUAAGCGCUAGGCCGUGGGUUCGAUUCCCGCCCGGGGCG
rfam:Asian citrus Psyllid, Diaphorina citri - Florida Strain, whole genome shotgun sequence.